UACAGGGGGGGCAAGCGUUGUUCGGAAUUACUGGGCGUAAAGGGCGCGUAGGCGGUCAGCACAAGUCAGUUGUGAAAUCUCCGAGCUUAACUCGGAAAGGUCAACUGAUACUGUGCGACUAGAGUGCGGAAGGGGCAACUGGAAUUCUCGGUGUAGCGGUGAAAUGCGUAGAUAUCGAGAGGAACACCUGCGGCGAAGGCGGGUUGCUGGGCUGACACUGACGCUGAUGCGCGAAAGCUAGGGGAGCGAACGGG
rnacentral:rRNA from 1 species